CACCCCUGGCAAUGGGCAAAGAGACCCCUUGUUGGUGGUGUUGCUCUUACAUCAGUCAGGGGAAGAGCAGUAGGCAGUCCUUUGCUCAUCCUAGCUUGAUGCUUGGCAUGAUGGCCAAAAUUGUUUUAUGCCUAGGACUCAUAA